GAAUAAUGUACACAACCAGAAGGCAUUGGCCGAAAUUAAUCUUUUAAGUAUGAUGGAUGUUUUAGUCACAAGCGCAUGGUCAACCUUCGGCUAUGUGGCACAAGGUCUUGCAGGUCAAAAACCAUUGAUUCUGUACAAAAUAGAGGAUAAGAAAAUCCCAAAUCCGGUCUGUGGGCGGGCCGUGUCGCUGGAGCCUUGUUUUCAUUCUCCUCCAAUUUAUGACUGCAAGGCAAAACGUGAAGUGGAUACUGCUACAAUUGUGCCAUAUUUGAGGCACUGUGAGGAUAUUCAUUGGGGAAUUAAGUUGUUCAAUAGUACUUGAAUCACUCAGUCGCUUUAUAUAUUUCUCAUUCUUGGAUAGUUUAUUCAGCAGGUGUUCCUGUAAUACUAAUCAUAUUGUUGGUACCUUAUUAGCCAAAAUAGGCAUUUUGCAUAAGAUGGCCGCCUCACUCGGCGUUGUCGAUCUAGUUGUCGCGUUACCCAAAAAAAGAAAAAAGAAAAAAGAAAAAAUUUCAAUAUAAUCCGGAUAACACCUGUACGAAACACCUUCAUGAAAAGUGUCCGUUUGUUGUGUAUGAAUUUCUUAUAGAACUUAUGAGCAGCAUCACUUAAAAUCGACAACUUCAAAACCUCAUGAUUUAGUGGGUGAUGGCACUCACAAAGAUGUUGAUAAUCAAUUAUUACUUCUUAUUAUAAUACUCCUAAUUGUUCAAGCUUAAGUUUAUUUGUGUAAACAUAAGAUCACAGUUGGAAGAGAUUUACUAUGUUGCAAGUUUCAUGUUCCAACAUUAUCUAGUGUUAAACCCUUAAUUUUAAACACUCAUAGAUGUUAAUAUUGGAGCCUUUAUCUAACAGCUAAAAAAUUUUAGUCAGUUCCAUUGAAUCUAUGUUACAUGUGAAAGUUUUUCUUAAGCCGUAAACCUCAAAACACUAGUCUUCUGUUAAUGUUGAACUGUAACCUACUAGCUUUAGGAUUUUAAAUCAAUGGACUCACUCUGGGCAUCAUUAGUGUAUUUAGAAUCCCAACUAUGAGGAAUUCUUAGCAUGGUCUUGUUCAUAGAAGUCCCCGUUGGCGGUUGCUUGUGUAUGAAGUAGCAUUACUUGAAAUCUUUCAGCUGCCAAUUACACUAGGUUAAUUGUCUUUCCAUUUCUCUUGUUCAGAAGACGAAUUAUCUCAACUCAUCGGAAAGGAUGAACCCACCAGUGAGGAUGAACCCAAUGGUGAGAAUCAACUCAGCAGUGACAAACUUCUUGGUGGACUGCUUGCACCAAACUUCACGAAAAGAGAUUGCUUAAACGUUUCCAAGCUACGAGAAUAAGAAAAGCUUCAUGAUAGAUUUGGACAUGACACCGAGUCAUACAAGAAUAGCAUAAAAGACAUGGUAUCUGGUCAAAAUGGCAGUUCCUCCGAGUGUAGAUACUUUGUUUGGAUAGCCAGAGCUGGCCUGGGAAACAGAAUAUUGAGCAUAGCAUCAGCUUUUCUUUAUCCUAUCCUUACAAACCGAGUUCUGCUCAUUAAUGAAGAACCUGAAAUGGCCAAUCUGUUCUGUGAGCCAUUUCCAAAUGCAACAUGGUUGUUGCCCAAGGACUUUCCCUUCAUGUCUCGAAUCUCCCGUUUCAAACAGAAUUAUGAGAAGAGUUACGGGAAUAUGAUUAAGAAGAAUAAGAUUAGUGCUUCAACAGAGUUGCUACCAGCGCACCUUUAUCUCUACCUGUGUAAUGAUUACGAUCAUCACGACAAGCUGUUUUUCUGUGAUCCAGAUCAAACUAUUCUGAGAAACAUACCGUGGUUGAUAAUGAAAUCAAAUCUCUACUUUCUUCCAUCUCUUUUCCUGAUGUCAUCUUUUGAGGAGGAGCUAGACAAGCUAUUUCCUGACAAAGAAAUGGUUUUCCAUCACUUGGGAAGGUACCUUUUUUAUCCCUCAAAUCAAGUAUGGAAACUAAUCACUAGGUACUACAAAAAAUAUCUAGCUGAAGCUGAAGAGCGUGUUGGGAUCCAAAUAAGGAUAUUUCAUAAAAACAAUAGUCCUUUUCAACAAGUUAUGGAUCAAAUUUUGUCCUGCACUGAUAAGGAAAAACUGUUACCUCAAGUGGAUACGGGUAAAUCGACAGCUGCUCCAUCUGGAAAAGGGAAAUGGAAGGCUGUUCUUAUAACGUCUUUGAUCCCUUCUUACUACGAGAAAAUGAAGAAUAUGUACCUGAAGCGUCCAACUCUGAAUGGUGAAGUGGUUGCUGUUUAUCAGGCUAGUCAUGAAGUGACAGAACACUCCAUGAAUAACGUGCACAACCAGAUGGCAUUGGCCGAAAUCAAUCUUCUAAGAAUGAUGGAUGCAUGUUUUCGUCACAAGCGCGGGGUCUACAUUCGGCUAUGUGGCACAAGGUCUCGGAGGUAAAAGACCUUGGAUUCUGUACAAGACAGAGACACAGAAAAUCAUCCUGUUUGUGGGCGAGCCAUGUGAAUGGAGCCUUGUUUUCAUUGUCCUCAAGUUUAUGAC
rnacentral:lncRNA from 1 species